GAUGAACGCUGGCGGCGUGCUUAACACAUGCAAGUCGAACGAAGCACUUUAUUUGAUUUCCUUCGGGACUGAUUAUUUUGUGACUGAGUGGCGGACGGGUGAGUAACGCGUGGGUAACCUGCCUUGUACAGGGGGAUAACAGUUGGAAACGGCUGCUAAUACCGCAUAAGCGCACAGCAUCGCAUGAUGCAGUGUGAAAAACUCCGGUGGUAUAAGAUGGACCCGCGUUGGAUUAGCUAGUUGGUGAGGUAACGGCCCACCAAGGCGACGAUCCAUAGCCGACCUGAGAGAGUGACCGGCCACAUUGGGACUGAGACACGGCCCAAACUCCUACGGGAGGCAGCAGUGGGGAAUAUAGCACAAUGGGCGAAAGCCUGAUGCAGCGACGCCGCGUGAGCGAAGAAGUAUUUCGGUAUGUAAAGCUCUAUCAGCAGGGAAGAUAAUGACGGUACCUGACUAAGAAGCACCGGCUAAAUACGUG
rnacentral:rRNA from 1 species